rnacentral:rRNA from 1 species
CAGUAGCCGCGGUAACACGGAGGGUGCAAGCGUUAAUCGGAAUUACUGGGCGUAAAGCGUGCGUAGGCGGUUCGUUAAGUCUGUUGUGAAAGCCCCGGGCUCAACCUGGGAAUGGCAAUGGAUACUGGCGAGCUAGAGUGUGUCAGAGGAUGGUGGAAUUCCCGGUGUAGCGGUGAAAUGCGUAGAGAUCGGGAGGAACAUCAGUGGCGAAGGCGGCCAUCUGGGACAACACUGACGCUGAGGCACGAAAGCGUGGGGAGCAAACAGGAUUAGAUACCCCUGUAGUCCCUGUCUCUUAUAC